ACGAGAAUAUAUAUAUAAUAUAUUAAAAUAAUAUAAUAAUAUAAUAAUAUAAUUAUUUAUUAUAAUAAUAUUUUUUAUUCAUUAAUUUAUAAGUAUUAUUCUUAUAUUACUACAAUAUUGUGUAUAAUAUUUAUAAUUAAUGAUUAUAAUAAUUAAAAAUAUUCAUUAACGUAUUAAUGAUAAAUGUAGUAUUCUAGAUAAAGGUUGUACUAGAUAUUUCUAUGGACGUCUGCAGACAAUGCCGUAUUUAAAGCAGCGAGCGUCAUGCGAGACCUCCGCGGUGGCUUGUCGAGCGUCCGGUCGCUUCAUCCAAUAGUGACAACUUAAAUAGGGCAAGUGUCAAAUAUUGACACUUUUACAGUAAUGGCGACUCUUUACACUUUACAGUGAUGAAAACUGCGCAAAAGGUGAGUGAUAGAGUUAUCGAUACGAAUGUCAGAAGCGCCAGGAUUGAAGAUUACUCAGUUUCUGCAGGUGAUAUGCGACCACAAAGCCUUUGAGGCUAUAAAACAAUUAUAGAGACACCAAGAUGAAGGUGUGUUGCGGCGUGAACCGCUGACUUUUUUUUCAUAUCACAACAAUCCCACAUGGGCCGCAUGCUGAGCUACGCCAUCGGUUGCCGCAUUUUCCUCAAUACCUACCACCACCUGAGUUAUCGUUAUGGUCAAUUUAUAAUUGACUAUAAAGGGCAAAUCCCACACUCACGUUUUUUGUGGUUUACUAAAAUGUAUGUGAUAAUAAGGAAAAUAAUAACAAAGCUUAGGCCCUGCUAAAUUGUUUACGUUUAGUAAAAACAAAUAUUGGUUUUAACAUAGAUAUCUGAUAUUUAUAAAAUGAACGUCCUAUGGACGCAUGUGUGAUAUUUUGGUGUUGUGUGUAUAGAAAUUAAAAAGUGUUAUAACUUAUAAGUAACUUUUAAGAUUCAUGACUUUCAGA